rnacentral:rRNA from 1 species
CCUACGGGUGGCAGCAGUGGGGGAUAUUGGACAAUGGGGGCAACCCUGAUCCAGCGACGCCGCGUGAGGGAAGAAGUAUUUCGGUAUGUAAAGCUCUUUUAGCAGGGACGAAAGAAAUGACGGUACCUGACCAAGAAGCCACGGCUAACUACGUGCCAGCAGCCGCGGUAAUACGUAGGGGGCAAGCGUUAUCCGGAAUUACUGGGUGUAAAGGGAGCGUAGGCGGGUAAGUAAGUCUGGAGUGAAAGCCCGGGGCCCAACCUGGGGUCUGCUGUUGAAACUAUUGACCUUGAGUGCAGGAGAGGAAAGCGGAAUUCCGAGUGUAGCGGUGAAAUGCGUAGAUAUAAGGAGGAACACCAGUGGCGAAGGCGGAUUGCUGGACUGUAACUGACGUUGAGGCGCGAAAGCGUGGGGAGCAAACAGGAUUAGAUACCCCAGUAGUC